rnacentral:rRNA from 1 species
AUUGAACGCUGGCGGCAGGCCUAACACAUGCAAGUCGAGCGAGAGGCGGACGGGUGAGUAAUGUAUGGGGACUGCCCGAUAGAGGGGGAUAAAUACUGGAAACGGUGGCUAAUACCGCAUACUAUCGGAUAACCCAUAUGGGAUUCGCUAGUAGGUGGGGUAAAGGCUCACCUAGGCGACGUGCUCUAGAUGGUCUUGGAGGAUGACCAGCCACACUGGGACUGAGACACGGCCCAGACUCCUACGGAGGCAGUAGUGGGGAAGAUUGCACAAUGGGCGCAAGCCUGAUGCAGCCAUGCCGCGUGUAUGAAGAAGGCCUUAGGGUUGUAAAGUACUUUCAGCGGGGAGGCGUUACCCGCAGAAGAAGCACCGGCUAACUCCGUGCCAGCAGCCGCGGUAAUUC